CGCGUAGGUGGUUGUUUAAGCGAGAUGUGAAAUCCCUGGGCUCAACUCCGGGGCUGCCGGUCAGACUGGCGGGCUCGAGCACGGUAGAGGCGGAUGGAAUUCCCGGUGUAGCGGUGGAAUGCGUAGAGAUCGGGAAGAAUACCGGUGGCGAAGGCGUUCCGCUGGGCCGUUGCUGACGCUGAGGCGCGACAGCGUGGGGAGCAAACAGGAUUAGAUACCCUGGUAGUCCACGCCGUAAACGAUGGGCACUAGGCGUCGGGGGGAGCGACCCUCCCGGUGCCGUCGCUAACGCAGUAAGUGCCCCGCCUGGGGAGUACGGCCGCAAGGCUGAA
rnacentral:rRNA from 1 species